CCCGAUUAUACAUGUUUCAACAUCCAAGACCAUCGACUGUCAUGGAAAUAAUGUUGAGGAGUUUCAAACCUUCAUCCUAUAUAUUUUUCAUAUAUUUUAAACAAGAAAUGAUGAAAUUCCAUGGGAGGUGGUAGAGCAAGGUUAUGCUAUAAACAAACCUUGCUCUAUUAGAGAACAUUCUGUUGGAUCAUAGAGAUUCUGGUAGUCAAAACUCACUGCAUCAUACAGGUGUGUUGGAACAUCAGCAAGGAGCCCACGAUCAAAGUAAUCUGGAAAAUCGAUAUUUUCGAGUCCAAGAUUCAUAGCAUAACAAUCACCUUGAACCCAACGGACUUGAAAAUCAUCAUCCAAUGUUGCAAAAGGUGACAUGCCCCAAUUUAUAUUCUUUUGCGCUGAUUCCAAAUCUGAUAUGCAUCUCAGAUUUGAAGCCUGAUUUUUCAGGCUUGAUGUGUUGGUGGAAAUGGGCUCAAAAGUUUGAUGAUUCACCUUAUAGGUCUUGGUUUGAACAUGGCUAGCUUCGAUUGUGCUCCCUGUUGAACUUACUUGGCUACCAUUCUUCCUGCACUCAUCGUACAAAGGUUUAAUUUUAACAGAGCCACCCAUGCCUCUUCCAGUUACAGAAGAUCCAGAAAUAAUGGGUGGAGCUGGCUGUGGAUAAUCAACUUGGAUGUGCUGUUGUUUACCAGGCCAUGUCAGGUGGCUAAAACCAUCAUCUAAAUGGAGUGGCU
rnacentral:misc_RNA from 1 species